AGAAACUUAGGUUAGAAAUAAACCAAGGGCCUUCAAAGCCCUAAACAGAGGACAAAUAUCCCUCUAGUUUCUG
rnacentral:tRNA from 1 species